CCCAUGGCUGUUUGCUGCCAGGUCGGUGCUGAGGAUCAAACGCAGGUGUCUGGAAGAUCUCCGGCUUCUGAUAAGAAGCAAGCUCCACCCUUGUCAUCAUGCCUUUGAAGGGCUUUUAGUGUUGCAAGGAGACACCAUGACUACCUCAGCUCUUUCAAAGAAAACAGUUAAUUAAGAUGGUGGCUCACCGUUUCAGAGGUUCAGUCCGUUAUCAUCAUGAAGG